UAGGGAAUCUUCGGCAAUGGACGAAAGUCUGACCGAGCAACGCCGCGUGAGUGAAGAAGGUUUUCGGAUCGUAAAACUCUGUUGUUAGAGAAGAACAAGGACGUUAGUAACUGAACGUCCCCUGACGGUAUCUAACCAGAAAGCCACGGCUAACUACGUGCCAGCAGCCGCGGUAAUACGUAGGUGGCAAGCGUUGUCCGGAUUUAGUGGGCGUAAAGCGAUCGCAGGCGGUUUCUUAAGUCUGAUGUGAAAGCCCCCGGCUCAACCGGGGAGGGUCAUUGGAAACUGGGAGACUUGAGUGCAGAAGAGGAGAGUGGAAUUCCAUGUGUAGCGGUGAAAUGCGUAGAUAUAUGGAGGAACACCAGUGGCGAAGGCGGCUCUCUGGUCUGUAACUGACGCUGAGGCUCGAAAGCGUGGGGAGCAAACAGG
rnacentral:rRNA from 1 species